UUGAUGUUUUUUUGAAUAAAUCAGCAAAAUUUAAGGAUGGAAAAUGGGUUUACUGCAUAACAUAUGUCGAACAUCGAAGGUAUUGCUACCGUAUCACUGCUUCAUUCCUUCAUCCCAACUCAUUGGUUGCCAUUUUCCAUUGUGGGUCAUGCUAAAAAAUGGACUCUUUCAAGAACCCUUUUCGUCACUUAUCAAACAACCUUGUCUAAAGCUUCUUUUCAAAAAGCAGUCAAAGGUGGUCAUGGAGCUUAUGCGCCGCAUGGAAUUUAGGGAGUUGGAAGACAAAAAGUCUUGCCCUUGUUGUUAUUUUAGUUGUACCUCAUCUGGAGGGGGAUCCUUAAGGAGGGGUAUUCAUCCUCGCUUUAGUAUACAUGUUCAUGCAGUUAUGUAAGUGUCUCAGGGAUGUAAUCUUGGACAAAGUUUCUACAACUUGGGUCAAGACUUAUAAAGGUUGCUAUUAGAGGUUUUCA